rnacentral:rRNA from 1 species
GCGUUGUUCGGAAUUACUGGGCGUAAAGGGCUCGUAGGUGGCCAACUACGUCAGACGUGAAAUCCCCAGGCUCAACUUGGGAACUGCGUCUGAUACUGGAUGGCUUGAGUUUGGGAGAGGGAUGCGGAAUUCCAGGUGUAGCGGUGAAAUGCGUAGAUAUCUGGAGGAACACCGGUGGCGAAGGCGGCAGCCUGGACCAACACUGACGCUGAGUGAGCGAAAGCCAGGGGAGCAAACGGG